rnacentral:rRNA from 1 species
CCUACGGGCGGCUGCAGUGGGGAAUAUUGGACAAUGGGCGAAAGCCUGAUCCAGCCAUGCCGCGUGUGUGAAGAAGGCCUUCGGGUUGUAAAGCACUUUCAGUGGGGAAGAAAGCCUUGGGGCUAAUACCCUCGAGGAAGGACAUCACCCACAGAAGAAGCACCGGCUAACUCCGUGCCAGCAGCCGCGGUAAUACGGAGGGUGCGAGCGUUAAUCGGAAUUACUGGGCGUAAAGCGCGCGUAGGCGGUCUGAUAAGCCGGUUGUGAAAGCCCCGGGCUCAACCUGGGAACGGCAUCCGGAACUGUCAGGCUAGAGUGCAGGAGAGGAAGGUAGAAUUCCCGGUGUAGCGGUGAAAUGCGUAGAGAUCGGGAGGAAUACCAGUGGCGAAGGCGGCCUUCUGGACUGACACUGACGCUGAGGUGCGAAAGCGUGGGUAGCAAAUAGGAUUAGAUACCCUUGUAGUC